GUGCUUGCUUCAGCAGCACAUCUACUAAAAUUGGAAUAAUACAGAGAAGAUUAGCAUGGACCCUGUGCAAGGAUGACAUGAAAUUUCAUGUGUGGCAUAUUGGC